rnacentral:rRNA from 1 species
UACGUAGGGUGCGAGCGUUAAUCGGAAUUACUGGGCGUAAAGCGUGCGCAGGCGGCGCGUUAAGACAGGUGUGAAAGCCCCGAGCUUAACUUGGGAAUUGCGCUUGUGACUGGCGUGCUGGAGUGUGGCAGAGGGAGGUGGAAUUCCACGUGUAGCAGUGAAAUGCGUAGAGAUGUGGAGGAACACCGAUGGCGAAGGCAGCCUCCUGGGCUAACACUGACGCUCAUGCACGAAAGCGUGGGGAGCAAACAGG